UGCUAAAUGGAUUAGUUUAACUAUUUGAAGUUGAGCAAGAUCGUCAACUUCAACCACAUUAACUUGCGUGUUAGUAAUUUGCUCCAGUAAACAAAUGUAAUAACACAACUAUUACUGUGUCGUACUAGUAAUAGUUAUUUUUGAAAGCAUCCAGCUGUUGAUGCUAGGCUAACUAGCUAAUAUGUCAACAAACCAACGUUGCACGAGUUUAACUUCAUUAACUUUUAUUAACGCCGAAGUCAUCUGCGAUUUACACAAGUAUAUCAGCGUAACCCUGUGCGUUAUCUCGACAGGAGGUGGAAAGAAAGUUGAGUUGAUUACCUGGUUCGUCAGAAGUACAGCGGGGUUGACGCAGGAAUCGCCAUUAGCCUCACACGAGGAUUUCCUUGUUUUGGAACUAUGUUUUCUCCGGUCAUCAGCUUCUCUAUCUAUCGUAACAAUGUGGAGCAGGAGGAGGAAGUGAACACUAGGACGUGAAGAGACCAAACCAGGGUGACGAUGGAGCUGACAUGAAGAGCAAAAGCAGUCUGUAAACUUUUUAUUUUAUUCAUUUAUUCAGUUGUUUCCUUUUAAUCCAGAUAUAAUGUUAUGGUCUUUGUAAAUGAAAACCAAGGAUGUGAUGUUUAGUUUGUUUAGGGACAGAAAUACGAAACCCAGAGGAAAAUGGUGCUAAUAUUUAUAUUUUUAUGGGUAUUUGUUAAUUGGGAUUUUUUACGUCCUCUUCUAAACUAAAAUUGAAACUAAUAUAUGAUUGUUGUGAUAAUGUCUAUUUGAUGGGAUGGAGAAGCAAGGGUUUCUUUUGUGAUUUCUGUUGUUGCCAUCACAGUGUAGAUCACAAACAUAUUCAGAGAUGUAGUUGAAAAGGAUGUUUUUCAGUGAAUGUUUUCAGCUAAAUCUUGGUGCAGCACUCAGUCAGUCGUAUGUCUGGAAUUCCGCUAGUUCUGAACUAUUCGUGAUUGGCAAAAGUUCACUACUAGCAGAACUCAGAUAUACACCUGAAUUUUCAACACAACUCAAGAUAAUAGCUCAAGUUUGGUCUUGCAUGACCUGCCAUUGGACAACUGCUAUAUUCACGGUAUUUUGAAUUGAAUGUUUAUUUUACGAUAUUUUAAAUUUGAACGGAAUUAGUCCAUAUAACUGAUGUUAAUUUAACAUGAGCAACAGUUUGCUUUCCCUGCUCCUUGUUUCUCUAACAUCAUUUGUGGUUUAAUUUCUAGACUUUUUCAUUUCUAGACUGGGUUUAUCUUGGCUUGGAAAUGAGGAAAACUAACUUUGUAUUCAUUCUUGUUUCUUGCUUCUCUUUUCCCUUUGGUUUGGUGAAGCAAAAGAAGAAGUUAAGACCUUUCCUGGAUGUGUUGCCUGUUGCUGUGGAAAACUACAGACUUGAUUACAAUAUGAAAUAUGAGAUACUUCCUUGUUUUUGAUGUAUUGUUUGUUGUAAAAUUGUGUGCUCACUACAUCAUAGUGAUCUGUUUGACACUGGACGAAUUAAGACUAACGUAACAUGUGUCAUAUAAAUCAUUUUUAAUUAUGUUUACUAGUCUUCAACAUAAAUAUACAUAUA